rnacentral:rRNA from 1 species
GCGACAGGAAGACAGGUGGUGCAUGGUUGUCGUCGGCUCGUGUCGUGAGAUGUUGGGUUAAGUCCCGCAACGAGCGCAACCCUUAUUGUUAGUUGUUACCAUUUAGUUGAGCACUCUAGCGAGACUGCCCGGGUUAACCGGGAGGAAGGUGGGGAUGACGUCAAAUCAUCAUGCCCCUUAUGUCUAGGGCUACACACGUGCUACAAUGGCUGGUACAGAGAGAUGCAAGACCGCGAGGUGGAGCCAAACUUUAAAACCAGUCUCAGUUCGGAUUGUAGGCUGAAACUCGCCUACAUGAAGCUGGAGUUGCUAGUAAUCGCGAAUCAGAAUGUCGCGGUGAAUACGUUCCCGGGCCUUGUACACACCGCCCGUCACACCAUGAGAGUUGGCAAUACCCAAAGUUCGUGAGCUAACCGCAAGGAGGCAGCGACCUAAGGUAGGGUCAGCGAUUGGGGUG